ensembl:lncRNA
AUGCAGAAGGAGAUCAAUGCACACCACAUCGCAACAGACAAGACAAGCCCAAAGAGUAAGUCAUUAAUAUAUACAUUAAUAUAUAUAAUAUUGACUUUUCAAAUAGAUACUUUUUGGAGCAUAUGUUUGUACCCAGAACUAUUUUAUUCAAUUACUGAUGUAGAUGAAUUAUAUUUUUCUUUGUUUAAGCAGAUCUUUCCACCAUUUAAAAAUAUCAUGGAUCAGACUCCAGACAUUUCCACAGACCACAAGAGAGAGAAGCAGUCAAAAGCAUCAUCGAACAUCCCUAAGAAUCUGCCAUUGUUUGUAAUUCUAAUGCAUGAUUUUUUACAAAAAAUUCCUGUUUUCAGCUCUUUCCCUAUUAGUCUUUCGUUAAUUGGAUUUGAGGAGUUGAUGGAGCUAAAAGUUUUUGUAUGCCCAUGCAGACAUGAUCUGAAUAUAUGGCUAACAACAUCUAUUUUACUUAGUCCUCCUUUUUUUAUUUUUGCUUUAAUGUAUUUUGUUUUAAGACCUUUUAAACAUGAUUGGUUUCAUUGUUCUCAAAGAGAGAAUGAUACUCGGCAGAACUGGCCUAAAGCUUUAGCACAUUGUCUGAUGCCAUCUGCAAUGUGGAUCAUCAUCUUGUUACUUGAUGGUGAUUAUAUUGCUUGUGCCAUGACAGACUGGAAGGGAGUUUAUGUGUUUGAUGUUGAGCUCAACAGGUCGUGGUGUAAACCCAAUGAAGACAUGCGAAAUGCGGCAGAGCUCCGAGAUUUGAAUCGCCAGUAUAUUUAUAAAUCACAGAUUUUAGGUUAUUCCGCAAGCUUUAUCUUAAGUGUAAUAACAAUAACCUUAAUGGUUAUUUUUGACUGCCACAUAAGUGGGAGAUGUGACUUCUGCCCAAAAUGCUGCAGACCAACAGCAGAGAUACAGACUGAGAAACAAGGUAGGAGAAAUUUUCAAGAACAGAGUGAAGAAUUAAACUCUGCAGCUCUUUGUUAUUAUGCCUCAUAAUCCCAGCACUGCAGAGCCAUUGAAAUAUUUUUAUUUAUUUAUUUAUUUAUUAUUAUUAUUAUUUUUUUUCUGGGUUAAACAAAACCCGAAUAACAUUAGUGAAAGUGAAAGUGAAAGUGAUGUGACAUGUAGCCGAGUAUGGUGACCCAUACUCGGAAUAAGCGCUCUACAUUUAACCCAUCCAAAGCGCACACACACAGCAGUGAACACACACACAAAGUAUUGAACACUCACCCAGAGCAGUGGGAAGCCAUUGUUUUGCUGCGGCGCCCGGGGAGCAGUUGGGGGUUCGGUGCCUUGCACAAGGGCACCUCAGUCAUGGCAUUGAAGGUGGGAUAGAGUGCUGUACAUUCAUUCCCCCCACCUAAAAUCCCUGCCGGUACGAGACUCGACCCUCAACCUUUCGGUUACAAGUCCAACUAUCUUACCAUUAGGCCCCGACUUCUUUUAAUAAUACGUUUAUGAGGUAUAUUACAAAUUUAAGGCUUAAAUACAAUGAACUGGAAAUGACUGCAAAUGAUUAUGUUGUACUUAAUGUGGUUUUGAUAUUUACAGUUUUCCUGUGUAUGUCCAAUAGGUUCUGCUACAAUGGGACAGGAACUGCAAGGGUCAGGGAGUUCUGCUACAAUGGGACAGGAACUGCAAGGGUUAGGGAGUUCUGCUACAAUGGGACAGCAAGAUUCAAGGAGUUCUGCCUCAGUGAGACAUAAACUACAAGGGGCAGAGGGUUUUGCUGCAGUGUCAUGGCAAUUAGAGAGUUCUGAUAUAGUGCGACAAGGAAAUAAAGGGUUAGGAAGAUCUGCUCUAGCA